AUUAAACCUUAGUAGAUGUAUUGUGGUUUCUGUGUGUGGGUUAUGUAUUAGUCAAGAAUUCCUAAUAAAUACUGUUUUAUGUCUUUUUAAUCAAGAAAAUAAGGUUGUUUAUAUACUGUUUUGUGGUAAUGACACCUUCAGUCCUCAGGAGGCUCUCAAAGAACUGUUUGGAGUGUAAUUCUGACGGCACCCAUUCACUGCAGAGGAUCCAUUGGAGGAAAAACGCCAGUCUGACAUGGGCAGCGAGUCACUGAGGCGGGCCGCUGACGUAUGAUGAAAGAGGAGGGAGCAGGAGCUCCCAUUCCAGCCAAAAUUCUCGUUCUUGGAACUAACAUUUUCAGCUGUGAAGACGCAUGCUUACAGAGAAGCAGAGGGAAAGACAACAGUUCAUACUGUUCUCCAGAAUCUCACAUCCCUCAUGUCUCUUUAAUUUGUUCAGACACUGCAUCCUUUCCAAUGGAUGUCACGUUUCUUUGGUGUUUGUUAUGUGGUGCCACUCAAAAUGUAAACAACAGAUGCUGCCAUCCACAUUAUAAGUCAAUGAGUGUCCUAUCAUAUAUUAUUUGACCAAAAAAGCUUCUAUUCUAUUCUAUUCUAUUCUAUUCUAUUCUAUUCUAUUCUAUUCUAGUUUAGUAUUAUGUUGUAAUAAAAAGUGAGAGUAUGGAUCAUCCCUACAGUAAGCUUGAACGUGUAAUUUCUGUUUUUAAUAAUCUUAAGGUUUUUUUUUUUUU
ensembl:lncRNA